rnacentral:rRNA from 1 species
GUCGUCAGCUCGUGUCGUGAGAGUGUUGGGUUAAGUCCGUAACCGAGCGCAACCCUUGUCCUUAGUUACCAGCACGUUAUGGUGGGCACUCUAAGGAGACUGCCGGUGACAAACCGGAGGAAGGUGGGGAUGACGUCAAGUCAUCAUGGCCCUUACGGCUGGGCUACACACGUGCUACAAUGGUCGGUACAAAGGGUUGCCAAGCCGCGAGGUGGAGCUAAUCCCAUAAAACCGAUCGUAGUCCGGAUCGCAGUCUGCAACUCGACUGCGUGAAGUCGGAAUCGCUAGUAAUCGUGAAUCAGAAUGUCACGGUGAAUACGUUCCCGGGCCUU